CAUGCACCGGUGGGGUCCCUUGGCCUGGCCUGUGCCCUCUCAUAAUCUGGAACCACUCGGGGGAUGUCGGAGAGCCGGUUUUGGCCCAAUCCAGCAGGCCAGGCCAAGGGACCCCACUGGUGCACA
rnacentral:pre_miRNA from 1 species